rfam:Capsicum annuum cultivar Zunla-1 chromosome 8, whole genome shotgun sequence
UUGUUUUAGGGAUGAACAAAUCGUUGAUAAUUUAAUUCAUUCAUCUCUUUGUCAUUAUCACAGUGUUGUUGUUUUGAUGAUCAUUAUCAAAUAGUAUGAUU